rnacentral:rRNA from 1 species
AUUGAACGCUAGCGGGAUGCUUUACACAUGCAAGUCGAACGGGUAGAGGACGGGUGAGUAAUAUAUUGGAACGUGCCCCGUAGCGGGGGAAAAGUAAUCGAAAGAGUGGAUAAUAACGCAUACCAUUGGAGCGGCCGAUAGGGGAUUAGCGAAGUGGUGGGGUAAAGGCUCACAAAGGACACGAUCCGUAGCUGGUUUGAGAGGACGACCAGCCACACUGGGACUGAGACACGGCCCAGACUCCUACGGGAGGCAGCAGUGGGGAAUUUUGGACAAUGGGGGAAACCCUGAUCCAGCCAUCCCGCGUGUAUGAGAAGGCCUUCGGGUUGUAAAGUACUGUUGGCAGAGAAGCGGUAUCUGCAGAAUAAGCACCGGCUAACUACGUGCCAGCAGCCGCGGUAAUAC